CCAGCAGCCACAGUGACACCAUGUGGAUCAGAGAAGAACCGCCUUGCCAAGCCCUUCUAGAAUUCCUGACCCAUAAAAUUCCAAGUCAAAUGAUUCCAGCAUAAACUGUCAUCUUCCUGCAAUGUCCCAUUAAGGAAAUAUAAGAAGCUUCUUGACAACUGAG